AUGAGCUGUCAUUUACAAAUACUUAAUUAUGGAAAUAGCCGUAAUUAAGUCUCAUACUGGAUUAUUAGAACGGAGUUUUAUAUGUAUAUCAAUCGGUAAUAUUUUCAAAAUCGUCGCCAUACUGAUGACAUCAUGUCCGGAUCCAGUCGCGGAUCAGAAGAGAUACACAAACAUUCUCGACAUUCAAGGAGGACACUAUGGCUUUUCUGAUUGGCGAAGUCCACAAUACACCCCACAUUGCAAUGAAAUGACUGUUUUCGUUUAUAUUUAUACUUAAAUAGAACAGUAGAAACUAUGCUGGCAUACUGUAUGGUCACGUUUUAAAUCAAAUAUACUAAUUGGAUACAUAUUUAAAUGACAGAUCCGAAAAAAAUAGCCAUUGCAAGAAUAUAAUUUUGAUAAGUGCAUUAGAAGAAAAUCAAUCUUCUGUCCUUACCUCGUUUUUAACUGGCAGUUACCGCAGCCCCCGUUUAGUAAAACAAAUAAGAGACAUGAGAACAUAUUAUGCAAAUGUGGCUUAUGCAACGUAUAAAGAGAUAAUGACAGUGAGAUAUAAUACGCGCUUAAGCGCGUGCUUCUUUCAUUUUGCCGAUAAGAUAUGGCAGCUCAAGAAAUAGAUGCAAAGAAAGCAAUUAUUUUCCCUUUGGAGAUCCAAAUACUUUCAAAUCCGUAUUAAAUGGUUAUCUGACACGAUAUAUUUCAAGUAUUGUUUAGAAUAAUGAGUGUUAUUUAUACAAUAUAGUUGGAGAUAAAGAAAAAUGAUUGAAAUGUUUGUUGUCUUCUUGUGUUAAUAUGAAUCCUCUUUAUCCGGUUUUUGACAUUGUAAAACAUAUUGCCUCGAAAGAAAUAACAAGAACCAUUUAUUAAU